UCCCACCCCAAUUCUGAACAAAACAAUCGU
rnacentral:piRNA from 1 species